CCAAACCUAACUAUGCUACUCUCCCAUACAUAGGCCCACUUUCAUACCAAAUAGCAAACUUAUAUAAAAAGAAGAAAAAUAUCAGAAUCAGCUUUUCCACAAAUAAUAAAUUACAACAAAAAGUAAUCCAUGAUGUAAACACCUCCAAGAGUCCCUACCGUAAAUCAGGAAUAUACAAACUCAAAUGUGAUACAUGCCCAAAAUUCUACAUUGGACAGACAGGCAGAAGUUUUGAAACUAGAUACAAAGAACAUAUUGACGCUCUAAGACUUGGUAACUUAAACAAAUCAGCAUUUGCAGCCCAUAUUGCUGAAGAAAACCAUUCAGUGGGAAAUAUUGAGGAGAACUUAAAGAUUUUGCAUCUAACUGAAAAAGGAGCCACUAUGAAUAUAUUGGAAGAAUUAGAAAUACACACACACAAAAACAGCACCCCAGACUAUAUCCUUAACGAACAAACAGAGUUGGCUAACACCCCUUUCCUGAAAAAUUUCCAAAAAUCACUUUCCAGCCUCCAAAGCAAAUAAUAUUAAUACACCUAUCUGCAGAUCAAGUAGAAAAUUUAUAUGUUAGUAUAAUUCUCAUGCUGCCAAAUGUAAUAAAAUAAUAUACUAUUUUACCUAUACAGUUCUAAAUAUACAUAAAAAACUUUAUAAUUAAAUUAGCAAUAACAGAUAUAUAUUAAAAAAAUAAAAAAAAAUUCAAUCUCUCUGUACUAAUGUAAAAGACAUUACAGUUUUGUAAAAGAAUAUAUGAUCCUUUCCAAACAUAGGACAUCAUUGUCAAAUGUUACGAUAUAUCAUAGCAUCUGUGACACCCAUAUUAGUGAUGGGCUAAACUGCGAUUUUCCGAUAUCAGUGAUUUCUGUGAAUGCUACUUUUCAGUAUCUGUUAUUCUUAACUGUGAUUUGUCGCAGUUAAGAGUCGCAGUUAAGGAACAUAGUUCGUGUAUCCCUCCGCCACUGCUAUUUCUGCGAUUUCUGCUACUUCCGCGAUUUCUGCUACUUCUGCGAUUUCUGUGACUUCUGCUACUUCUGCGAUUUCUGCGAUUUCUGUGACUUCUGCUACUUCUGCGAUUUCUGUGAUUCCUGCUACUUACCACCGUAUGAAAAAGUUACAUCUGUCAACACAGAAAAUUGCAUCUCAACAAACCUGUCAUUGGCAAGUACCUGAACUACAUUUCAGUCACUCAGUAAAGUGAUAACUCAAAAUAUCAUUGUCAACAGAUCUGAAGAAAUUGCCACAGCGUCUUUAGACCGUUUUCGUCAGACGAGAGACACAGUUCUGACUCUGAUUACUGGUUGCUGUACGUAUCUAACCACAUCAAGGCUGUUUUUGAGAGAGACUCUUGAAGAUUCAAGACAGCUCUUACGAUUUGCAGUUUAAAAGUGAAA